rnacentral:rRNA from 1 species
GACAGAGGGUGCAACCGUUGUUCGGAAUUACUGGGCGUAAAGCGCGUGUAGGCUGCUCGGAAAGUCGGAUGUGAAAGCCCUGGGCUCAACCUAGGAAGUGCAUUCGAAACUUCCGAGCUGGAGUACUGGAGAGGAAGGCGGAAUUCUCGGUGUAGAGGUGAAAUUCGUAGAUAUCGAGAGGAACACCGGUGGCGAAGGCGGCCUUCUGGACAGUAACUGACGCUGAGACGCGAAAGCGUGGGGAGCAAACAGG